rnacentral:rRNA from 1 species
GUUUGAUCCUGGCUCAGGAUAAACGCUAGCGGCAGGCCUAACACAUGCAAGUCGAGGGGUAACGAUGUCUUCGGACAGUCGACGACCGGCGCACGGGUGAGUAUCGCGUUUGUAACCUACCUUUAACUGGAGGAUAGCCCGAAGAAAUUCGGAUUAAUACUCCAUAAUACUAUGAACUGGCAUCUUUUUAUAGUUAAAGCUCCGGCGGUUAAAGAUGGGCAUGCGUAACAUUAGAUAGUUGGUGAGGUAACGGCUCACCAAGUCUACGAUGUUUAGGGGGUCUGAGAGGAUGGUCCCCCACACUGGUACUGAGACACGGACCAGACUCCUACGGGAGGCAGCAGUGAGGAAUAUUGGUCAAUGGGCGCAAGCCUGAACCAGCCAUGCCGCGUGAAGGAUGACGGCGCUACGCGUUGUAAACUUCUUUUGUACAGGAAGAAACGCUUCUACGUGUAGAAGUUUGACGGUACUGUACGAAUAAGCACCGGCUAACUCCGUGCCAGCAGCCGCGGUAAUACGGAGGGUGCAAGCGUUAUCCGGAUUUAUUGGGUUUAAAGGGUACGUAGGCGGAAAAUUAAGUCAGUAGUGAAAUCCUGCAGCUUAACUGUAGAACUGUUAUUGAUACUGGUUUUCUUGAAUAUAGUUGAAGUAGGCGGAAUGUGUAAUGUAGCGGUGAAAUGCUUAGAUAUUACACAGAACACCGAUUGCGAAGGCAGCUUACUAAGCUAUGAUUGACGCUGAGGUACGAAAGCGUGGGGAGCGAACAGGAUUAGAUACCCUGGUAGUCCACGCCGUAAACGAUGAUCACUCGUUGUUGGCAAUACAUCGUCAGCGACCGAGCGAAAGCAUUAAGUGAUCCACCUGGGGAGUACGCUCGCAAGAGUGAAACUCAAAGGAAUUGACGGG